rnacentral:rRNA from 1 species
CCUACGGGGUGCAGCAGUGAGGAAUAUUGUUCAAUGUGCGCGAGUCUGAACCAGCCAAGUAGCGUGAAGGAUGACUGCCCUAUGGGUUGUAAACUUCUUUUAUAAAGGAAUAAAGUGUUGCACGUGUGUGUUUUUGUAUGUCUUUUAUGAAUAAGGAUCGGCUAACUCCGUGCCAGCAGCCGCGGUAAUACGGAGGAUCCGAGCGUUAUCCGGAUUUAUUUGGUUUAAAGGGUGCGUAGGUGGGUUGUUAAUUCAGUUGGGAAAGUUUGCGGCUUAACCGUAAAAUUGCAAUUGAAACUGGCAGCCUUGAGUACAGUUGAGGUAGGCGGAAUUCGUGGUGUAGCGAUGAAAUGCUUAGAUAUCACGAAGAACUCCGAUUGCGAAGGCAGCCUACUAAACUGCAACUGACAUUGAGGCUCGAAAGUGUGGGUAUCAAACAGGAUUAGAUACCCGUGUAGUC